GAAGGGAAUCGUGCCCGGUGGUGCGGCUGGUCUUCAAAACCAGUGUGGGGCGUAAGACGUUCCAAGUGGGUUCGACUCCCACUCUCUUCC
rnacentral:tRNA from 1 species